rnacentral:lncRNA from 1 species
UAAAAAGUUUGUAAAGUAUCUUUUACUUUGAAUUAAAUGUGACCCGUAUUAUGGUAUGGUUGUUUGCCAAAUACAUCUAGUAUGUAGGUUUAUAUGUAGUAGACUUCCUGUGAGCAAGUAGGGUGUUGUGGUGACUUUUGGCCAAUACACUGCAAGCAGUGGAGUAUCACUUUGAGGCCAAGUAUUUAAAUGUUAUUACAGAAACCCACAGAGUGCUUCUCUCUGGAACAGUGUCUAUCAAAAGGCAAAAGCUACUCUACCUAUCUUGGUCCUUAAGUGACCAUAGUGAGACAAACAUCCUUUCAGACUGACUGGAAUUAUAACAUGAGGGAGAAAUAAAUGCUUAUUUGAGAAAUGUAUAAAGUCCUUCUAAAAAUCUUAUGAUAACUUCUCCAUAAAAAUAAAUAUAAACAUAAAAAAGUAUCAACAUCUGAAUCUGUAGUUUCUCCUUAGCCAAGCCAUUUGACAUUAACAAUGUUUAUAUAAGGCAUUAAUAAGUUCCCAAACAUGGCAGUGCCUCCUUUAAGUACUCAGGAUGAUCAAGAGCAAGCUAUGCAAAUUCUCUGGUAUUCUUAUCCUAAAAUUGCUUACUCAACUUACUAUUUUUUUAAUUGUUUCAUCCAGGUUCUUUUAAGGAUAUAAGAUGGUGAAUGUAUAUUUCCAAAGUACACACCUGAGUUUGAGAAGAGUCUGGAUUCUUGUAACUUUCUGCCAUCUGUUUAAUUAUUUUGUGUUUGGAAAUAAAAUCAAAAUCUCAAAUAUUUAUGAACUACUUAACAUGCAUAAAACAUUUGAUUUGGGUCAUUGGGGAAAUAUAAAGAAAAUAAAGGUGUUUUCCUUGUCUUUAGAGAGUAUAUAAUCUAGUUGGGGAAUCAUGCCAGAAAUACAUGAGUUAUUCAAUAGCACAAGAAUCCGAAUCAUGCCAAAUCACAUAAGGAAAAUAUUAGUAGUGCUGCAUAAAAACUGAUUUUGAUCUAAAACAGCAAUUCCCAGAUCCUAGAAAUAUAGAAACAGAGUCUGAUGAUGACUUGGCAGGGAAAUUUAAGAACAAACUAAACUGAUAGGAAGAGCCCUGUGCAUGACUUCUAAGCACAUUCCUAUUUCAAGUGAAUGAGGUAGACUAUUGAUGAAAGUUAAAAUAUUAUUUUGAAAAUUAUGCCUAAUAGUUGCUAUCCCACUCUUCCUCAUCUUUGUCCACUCCUCUCACUUUAUUUACUUUCAUCCCCUCCCUACUUCCUUUUACUUAAUCUGUCCUUAAUAUCUGUUCCUUUACCUAGGUUGGUGUCAGUGAGUGAUGAGGCAAUAUCUGAUGAUAUUUUGCAUUAGUGGUCAAUAGCAAAUGCUCUGGAGUCAGAAUGCUAGAAGUUGAAUCCUGGCUUUCCUGUCCAUUUUUGUUCAGGGAGGAUUACCACUUACUACUCAUAUAGCACUUCCACCAUCGGGAAUGUAUGCACACAGAUAUUGAUUUCAUAUAGACAUGUAUAUGAAAGUGUGCUGUAUGUAUGUUUGAUUAGUUUAUUCAAUAAAAACCCGGGCAGCCCGAGACACAGGCAGAGGGAGAAGCAGGCUCCAUGCACCGGGAGCCUGACGUGGGAUUCGAUCCCGGGUCUCCAGGAUUGCGCCCUGGGCCAAAGGCAGGCGCCAAACCGCUGCGCCACCCAGGGAUCCCUGGAUCCCCUCUUCUGAAGGGUUCUCUAGGAUGUCUUACUUCCUCUACCACUGUAACAGUGAUUGGCUACAAAAUGCAGACAAUAAAUCUCAUAAUGAAUAUCUGUUCUUAGACACCUAUUACCUCAGAAAAUGCUUCUUAUCAAAAUAGGUUUAGCCUUCUGAAUUGAUUACAAUUCCAGGAAACCAAAAUCUCCAGUGAUUAUUGGAAGAAGAGGAGCAGCAUACAGGUUGUCAUAUCACAGAGCUUAUCAUAACAAGUGCACCUUAAUUAGGUUAAGUGAAGAUCUCUCAGAGCUAAUAC